AUGACACAAAUUGUAGAAACUGUGAGAAUGAACAAAUAAUGCAAGAUAUUGAAACAAUAACUCUAUUUGUAUUUCUGCAGUUCAGUGCUUGCUCUUGUCCUGUAAGUAAUAUUGCUACCCCAGCACUUACUUUCAGACCUGUCUUUCCUACCACUGGGCUUACCAUGGUCAUCCAUCUCAUCACUGGCUUAAUUUGUCUUGUGUGCCAUGAAUGAAUGAACCUUCUGGGUCUUGACAACGGUAUUUUUGGAUUUCUAUGGCAACUGAUAUUUAUGUCUGGCAUGGCAUUUGUACUUAUGCCUUGGGUCUGUUACAGACUUAAAUAAAAUAGAAAACAAGGCUUUGUGUAUUUGUAUCAAAGAGACUGGACCUUUAAGUAGGCAUUCAAAACAUUAUCUGUUAAUCUUCUUUUUGAACAGAUUGUUUCCUAAAAAAUUACAAUGUGAUAAAGUAGAGCUGACACUUCUUAACUAGCAUUGAUGUUUAUGGACAGCAAAUGUUUAUCAUCCAUAAUUAAGAUGGAUUACAUCCUUUGAAACAUUUUCCAGAAAAAAGCCCUUUCACAUAUACGUGGUUAACUGAUUAAUUAAAUUAAUUUAAUCCAAAUAAACAUUGCAUCAUUUUAUGGUAGAAUCAUUAUUCAGAUUGUGUAGGCCUAUUUCACCAUCCAUUCAAAAUCGAUAUGAGGUCUAAGGUUACUGGAAAAAAGGUGUUGUGUGUUCAUGUAAAUUAAUUCAAGUAGGAGUAGGCGUUGUGGCUAUUCAUUUAAGACCUUUAGACAACACAGAUUGCUUGUCAGGAGUUAUCGUGACAGUGUUUGCUCAAAGUAAAUGGUAUCAUUUAUAAUCAUUCAAAAUAGUACAUUCUGCAGAUGAAACAUCUAAAGACAGGAGUGACAUCAGGUGUUUGCAUUUUUCUCUUUAUUCUUUUCCAGAUUGGAAACAAAAUUGCAGGGUCAUUAUUCAUUAUCACAGUACAUGACAUGAUGCACCAAAAUAUUUUUUUUUCUAUCUUGUUAACAGGAAAACACUGAAAAGAACACAAGGUUUCACAAUGGAUACUGGACCGACAUAUAGCCCAUUGCACUUACAACAGUGAAUGCAGUUUUCUUUUUUUUUUUCCCUUGAUUGUAUUUUCCCAGAUUUUUUCUUCAAAUUUAGAAUUUUGUUUCAACAGAUUAACAUCUAUCCACUCUAAAAUGUUGUAACAGGAACGAUGGAAGCCAGGAUCAUGUUUGACACUUCAGUGUUUCUUGUUUUCAUUUGUUUUGUUUUUUUUUGUUUUGUUUUGUUUUGUUUUGUACAAACACAAUAUUUAUAGAAAUCCUACACAGACCAGAUAUGUUAAUAUGUUUCUGUUUUUUAAUCCACUGUCGGAAACAGUCAUUGACAGUCAGCCACAUACACUAUGCUUAAUUUUGUCAUUAGAUUGAUCUCUUAUACACAAAAGCACAAAAAAAGUUGGCAGCUUAGCCAGCCUGGGGAUGCACAAGACGGCCAGCAUUUUUACUCAGAAGAUUGAACACUGUACAAAAAAGGUCUGUAUUUACAGUGAGGGCAUGUCUGUGUGUGUGUGUGUGUGUGUGUCUGUCUGUCUGUCUCACUGUGGUUAUGUCUGAUUGUACCUGUCUGUCUGUUUGCCGAGACAGACAACUGCUCUGGAGGCCUUGGCUCAUUCACUGGUUAUGGAGAGUUUGUAAAUUCCAGGGACCUGUUAUUUGUUCAUUUGUGUAAUCUGGUAUGACAGAAAAAUGAAAUCGAUCCACAAAUCCCUGUUCCUUAGUGUACUGUCUAGCAGGUGAUCAGCCUGACAUAUAGCACUGCUGUCAGCCUUGUGUUCUGAUCCUCUGCCUAGUGGUGUGAGAUCUAUGAUGCCAUGGAUUCGAGCAAACCUGUGAUAUGUAUGGUCACAUGCAUGGGAUAUGAUAAGACAUGGAACUUUUUGGAUAAGUUCUCAGAUAUGCUGAUGGUGUAGUGGGGAGUUUAAAACAUUCAGUACAUUUGAUAGCUGAUCUCUGUGUUUGAGACGUUUUCCUUUGCCUUUCUGUAUUUGUUAGAUUGUCCACCUUGAGGGGUGUCUGUGUGUGUAUGUCUCUGUUUAUAGCUGGGUUUGGGUAAUGGUCGACCACAAAUGAUAUGUUUCCAUGUGAAAUAUUCUGAUGCAACGAAAUGUAACGAAGAGCUUGGCAAAGACGCAUAACCAGUGCAUGAGCCAGCGCUUGGCCUUAGUAGGGCUUUGCCAGCCCAUAGACAGACAGACUGAGCACAAGCAGAACAAGCCAGGCGUAGCCAAGCAGGACCCAUGCUUAAAGCGACAGGAUGAUGGACGUCAUUGAUUGACAAGUCAACACAGAUAACCCUUUGGCAACAGAGUUUCCCCACCGCAAAACGGAGAAGGGAUUAAACAUGCCACUGAAAUAAAAACAAGUCUAGAAUUGUUUUCCAGGAAGUCAUACACCAUACAUACGGAUAGCUAAACACACAGUUCAUAUCCACAUUUUGGACUCUGCAGAAACACAAUGUCAUUGAUUUCAGUUGUGUGUAAUUGUGGCGUCACGGUAUACUUCAAUCAUUGCAUAGAACAUCUGGAAUGAAACUUGAUUUCCACUCUUCAUUUUAUCAUUGUGAGUGUCCUUGAGUGUAGUGUUUCUUUUCAUAUGUCAUGUUUAUAUGGGCAUGUUUGAGUGCAUGCAACUUUAUCCAUAAUCCUAAAAGAGAGAGAGAGUGUGUGUGUGUAUUUGUGUGGGUGUAAUAAUCUCAAAUAUGCUUAGAAUGAAGAUCAAGAGACACCACUGAUUCCCAACCACUUAUUUUAACAACAAUAACUUCAUUGUGCUCUAUACUGGUUCUGCAUGCUAUUGCUUAUAGAAAUCAACAAGAAAAGAAAAGAUUAAAAUGCAGAAGAAUUACGAAAUUAAAUCAUGAAAAUAUAAAUAAUAUUACCAAACAUUAAACAAACCAUAAAAUCCGAGAAAUAGAAAUCCAUAAAUACACAAAUUAAUAUUUUACAAUAUCAGCUCUUUCUAGAUAUGUACAUUUACAGUAGUAUACAGUUGUGCAAAAUAAAUUGAGUAAGGAUGGUAUGAAUUGCUUCUUUAAAAAAAAGUGAGGUAUACAAGUACAAAACACAAAUACAAAUAAGGCUCUUAUUUUCAAAGAAAAAAAAUAGGCAAAAUGAUAUGAAACUAGCAGAUGGACAGCAAAAAAAACAAAACAAUCCCAGGCGUCCAGUGCUCUAGGACCAUCUUGUGAUGGCUGAGGGGCAGAAGUGGCCAUGCCAAAACUCUGACACCACCUCCCUGGUCUGAUCGGAGUCUUUAGUUGCACUCUACCCCAUGUGUCACAGUCUAGCCCCUGGGACUUGCGUGGAGCUUGUGAAGUAGAUGCUGGGUAUGGGUUGGUAUACAUAUGGAUUUAUAUAUUUUCAUUAUAGUCAUAUUUGUGCGUGCAUUCCCAUGUCCACAUUUUACACAAUGCAUUCGAUAAACACAUGACAAGGUCAAGGAUAAACGAACAAGAGCAGAAGUAAAUCAAAAGUAAAACAGAAACAUUCAAAAAAGAGGGCUAAUCAUCGCCAUAGUGGAAUGUCAAGAUCUUAGAAACCGAGCAUUACAUUUAUUUAUAAUAGUCAAGAGCUGUAGUCUGUCCAUUCCUUUACAAGAGGAAACGUGGUCACUUCCAACAGUGCUCUCUCAUUGUUGAACAAGUUCCAUGUUUAGUACUGGAAAAAAAAAGAAUGAACUGCUCUCCUGUCUCUGGCCAUUUGGACCAGGACACCAGAGCAACUGUAAUGAAGGAUUCUCAAAAACCACAACUUUACAUUUACAACAUGCAUCCAGUAGCCUGUCUUCACCUGUGUGGGUUAUACCUGUGCUCAACAGGAUGCCAAUAUGUCUGUACAUGCACCUCAUUUCACAUUGGAUCACAAUGUGUGAGUUGGAUCGUCUGAAUGCACGCAUACAUACGGGAUAGAUGGCACUGUGUAUGCAUCCAUUCUGUCUUCUGUUCCCUUGACAGGACUGUUUUGCAUGGUGAGAAUUCUACAGCACUGGCAUCACACAAAAGAAAGGAGACUGGGAACUGUCUCCCCAAAUGAACCACAGCCAAGCAUCCUUUCAUUUCAGAUCCUAUCUCUCCCAGACAGGCAGACCAAUCCCACCUCAUAAACCUGUAAAAGAGAGAGAGGCAGAAAAGGUCAGACUCUCCCAGCCCAAUAUCAUUCACAGACUAUGAGUACCUGAGAGCGUCAGAUAAAAUGACAAUGGUUCAUUUAAAUGUAGGGCUUGUAAAAAUCGCUAUCCCGCCGUGCGCUGAUAGCACCAUCUGAUGACUAACCUAUGUUUGAACAUGUUCAUUCUUAAAAUACUGGAACAUUAGCCUACACAAUGCAAGCAUUACAGGCAUGAAACGCUGUCCAAGGUUCGCUUCACACUCAGGUUCACAUCGCUUCAACGCUAUGUCCCAGCCAUACCCAGCAAAAACGGUCCUCCCAUUUAUCAUCUUGGUAAAACGUCUAAAUAUUAGAACAUAGCCCAAACCAAAUUUAAUGAUAAUACUCCAUUAAUCAAUACAUCACCAAACAGCAUCAUGUUGGCAAUGUUUCUUUUUAACUGAAAAUUUUGAAAUAGAUACACAGUAAGCAAAUAAUCUACAGAGGAGAAAAAUAUUUAUUUGCAAUAUCAAGUGAAUAAAGAAUAGAAUAUCUAUAUAGCCUGUAAGGUAUAGGCCUUUUAUUUGCUUUAGUUGUUUGUGUGCACAUUUGUGUGACUUGUUUUUGUAUAGGGUAUUGAUUUAUAUUAAUUAUG
ensembl:lncRNA